UAGAAAUAUAGUGGAGGUUAUCUGGGUGACAGGUGGUGCAUGGCUGUCGUCAGCUCGUGUCAUGAGAUGUUUGGUUAAGUCCCGCAACGAGCGCAACCCUACUCUUUAGUUGCUUUUCUAAAGAGACCGAACAGUAAUGUAUAGGAAGGUUGGGAUCACGUCAAGUCAUCAUGCCCCUUAUGCCUUGGGCCGCAAACGUGUUACAAUGGUGAGUACAGCGUGGUGCAAGCCAGCGAUGGCAAGCAAAUCACUAAAAACUCAUCUCAGUCCGGAUAAAAGGCUGCAAUUCGCCUUUUUGA
rnacentral:rRNA from 1 species